AUAGACUAGAACCCAGGUUGUAUAGACUAGUACCCAGGUUGUAUAGACUAGUACCCACCCAGGUUGUAUAGACUAGUACCCAGGUUGUAUAGACUAGAACCCAGGUUGUAUAGACUAGUACCCACCCAGGUUGUAUAGACUAGAACCCAC